rnacentral:rRNA from 1 species
GACGAACGCUGGCGGCGUGCUUAACACAUGCAAGUCGAACGGAAAGGCCCUGCUUUUGUGGGGUGCUCGAGUGGCGAACGGGUGAGUAACACGUGAGUAACCUGCCCUUGACUUUGGGAUAACUUCAGGAAACUGGGGCUAAUACCGGAUAGGAGCUCCUGCUGCAUGGUGGGGGUUGGAAAGUUUCGGCGGUUGGGGAUGGACUCGCGGCUUAUCAGCUUGUUGGUGGGGUAGUGGCUUACCAAGGCUUUGACGGGUAGCCGGCCUGAGAGGGUGACCGGCCACAUUGGGACUGAGAUACGGCGCAGACGCCUACGGGAGGCAGUAGUGGGGAAUAUUGCACAAUGGGCGGAAGCGUGAUGCAGCAACGCCGCGUGCGGGAUGACGGCCUUCGGGGUGUAAACCGCUUUCGCCUGUGACGAAGCGUGAGUGACGGUAAUGGGUAAAGAAGCACCGGCUAACUACGUG